GGGGAUGAGCGCACGGGCCCGCGGAGUGCGGCUGUUCAGAGGAACGCCCUCCUCCUGGAGACCCGCAGCUGCUGCUGCCUUCACGGGCCGUCGGACAUUCGGCUAUCGAGUUGAAUGAUGGACAUUUAAAGGGUUCCAUCUCUGCAAACAUCCACUCACACCUCCUACCUGCACCUGGAUCACCUGGAUGUAAUCACCACGUCACUGACGACGUUCCUGCUCAAAGACCGGAUUAUCCGGACCGCCCGGAGCUUCUGCGGCAUCAAUCACAUCGCCGUGGACCUUUUUCUGGCAGAGAUGCUCCUCAGUCAGUCAUCCUACCAACCGCCCAGCAGGGCCAGAAACCCGUCUGCAGGUUCUGUUGCUUCAUCCAUCAACGCUUCGGUGGAGAUGACAGAUUCUCAUUAGUGUAAAGUGCUGCGGAGGAACGAACGGGAAGGAAAAUGUCAGAUAAAUGACAAAAAACAGGGAUAAAAGAUGAACAAAAUGAAGAAAGAGAAGCAAAAAAGAAAGA